GCUGUGGUAGCUCAGUGGUAGAGCACUCCCUUGGUAAGGGAGAGGUCGAGAGUUCAAUCCUCUCCCACAGCACCA
rnacentral:tRNA from 6 species